UGGGGAAGUCUGCCUUUGAGCGGGGGACGAACAUUUGGAAACGAAAUGCUAAUACCGCAUAAAAACUUUAAAACACAAGUUUCAAGUUUGAAAGAAUGCAAUUGCAUCACUCAAAGAUGAUCCCGCGUUGUAUUAGCUAGUUGGUGAGGUAAAGGCUCACCAAGGCGAUGAUACAUAGCCGACCUGAGAGGGUGAUCGGCCACAUUGGGACUGAGACACGGCCCAAACUCCUACGGGAGGCAGCAUG
rnacentral:rRNA from 1 species